rnacentral:rRNA from 1 species
AUACGGAGGGGGCUAGCGUUGUUCGGAAUUACUGGGCGUAAAGCGCACGUAGGCGGAUUAAAAAGUUAGAGGUGAAAUCCCAGGGCUUAACCCUGGAACUGCCUUUAAAACUAGUAGUCUAGAGUUCGAGAGAGGUGAGUGGAAUUCCAAGUGCAGAGGUGAAAUUCGUAGAUAUUUGGAGGAACACCAGUGGCGAAGGCGGCUCACUGGCUCGAUACUGACGCUGAGGUGCGAAAGCGUGGGGAGCAAACAGAAUUAGAAACCCCGGUAGUCC